rnacentral:rRNA from 1 species
UGGGGAAUAUUGGACAAUGGGCGCAAGCCUGAUCCAGCCAUGCCGCGUGAGUGAUGAAGGCCCUAGGGUUGUAAAGCUCUUUCACCGGUGAAGAUAAUGACGGUAACCGGAGAAGAAGCCCCGGCUAACUUCGUGCCAGCAGCCGCGGUAAUACGAAGGGGGCUAGCGUUGUUCGGAGUUACUGGGCGUAAAGCGCACGUAGGCGGACUAUUAAGUCAGGGGUGAAAUCCCGGGGCUCAACCCCGGAACUGCCUUUGAUACUGGUAGUCUUGAGUUCGGGAGAGGUGAGUGGAAUUCCGAGUGUAGAGGUGAAAUUCGUAGAUAUUCGGAGGAACACCAGUGGCGAAGGCGGCUCACUGGCUCGAUACUGACGCUGAGGUGCGAAAGCGUGGGGAGCAAACAGG